UCGUAGAUAAGUACAGACGUCUCCGUAUCGAUUCGUGAGACUCUAAUAAACCAGCUUGUGAUUCAUAACUCCUAUAACCUAGAGCUUUGAUACCAACUUGUCACAACCUUAGUUCGUCCUACGUGAACUAUCGUGAUGACACCUAGUCGUAAGCCUAAUAAUUGCGGGAAAAGGGAAAAUAGAUAAAACUAAUAAAAACUGCGGAAUAAACAUAAUGAAGGUCUAAAAUGUCGCUCGGCAUAUACAAAUAUAACUCUAAAACUGAACACUUACCAAAACCCAAAAUCUCAUGAAAUCAUAAGCUAUUAAAUAACUACAAGUGUCUAACUCCAGAAUAUCUAAACAAAAGUAAAUACAUAAAGGCUAUAACUAUAAGAGAGAAUGGAGAGAGAUUUCUCGAUCUGCAGACGCGACAGAUAUACCUCGAAAUCUCUGAAGAAUCGCUUCGCCUCAAAGAUAGUAGGACUGAGUCGAAGAACCUGGAUCUGCACACGGGGAAAACAUGUGCAGGAAAGAGCAUAAGCACACCACAACGGUACCCAGUAAGUGUCAAGCCUAACCUCAGUCGAGUGGUGAUGAGGAAGGUCAGGACCCUACCGAUCAUAUACAAUAAUAUAUAAGGAAAAGAAGCAGUAUUAAAGUAACACAGGGUAAUAAGACUAGAAACAACUAUAACAAAGACGAAAUAAUCACAGAAGGAAUACAGCUCAACACAGAGAUAACUAAGGAUCUCCCAAGAUACCGUCUUGUAGUCCCCAAAUGUAAAUAUCCAGUGGAUUUCCCGGGUGUCGUCCCGUAGUCCAAUUCAUAGAGCGCGGGGAUCUACCGGAAUCCCGAUCAAUAGUCUCAAAUGUAAAUACUCAAUACUUGGGAAAUCUACCGAGUGCAGUCCCGUAGUUCCAAUAUAAAUGUCGGAAUACAAAUCCGUAGUCCCAAAGUAAAUAUGCAAGAGGAUCUCCCGAGAUACCGUCCCGUAGUCCCAAGGUAAACACACAGCAGCAACACGAAAAAUAUUCAAUUAAAUCCAAAUGUCAUACCAAUGUAAACAGGUAUUUCUAACCUAGCAUGCUGCACAGAGUUUAAAUAAAGCAGUUUGAGCAAAUAAAGCAAUUAAGUCAAUUAGACAUGCUUUCUUAAGCUAACAGUAGACUUAAAUUGCAAGUAGUAUAAACAGGGAAGAAAAUACAAUUAUAGUUAUGUAAUGAAAACAGAAUUUUCAACAAUUAGCACAUGUACGCACUCAUCACCUCAUGUACAAGGCAUUUCAUAUAUCAACAACAUCAAAUCCUAAGGGGAGUUCUCCCACACAAUGUUAGACAAGCCACUUACCUCGAACCGGCUCAAAAAUCAACCCGAAACCACGCUCUUGCCACGAGUACUCGGCUCCAAAUAGCCCAAAUCUAUUCAAAUCAAUUGCAUAAUGUAAAUAUAAUUUCAAGUAACUAAUUCCACUAGUUAAUUCGAAGCUAACACGCGAAAUUAAGAAAAUUAUCCAAAAAGCCCCCCGAGCCUAUGUCUUGGAAUCGGAUAAAAGUUACGGAUUAUGAACCCACAUUCACUCACGAGUCUAACCAUACCAAAAUUAUCCAAAUCCGAUGUCAAAUCCCCAAUCAAAACUCGAAAAUUAGGCCUAAAAACUUUUUCAAAUUUUUUCCUAAUUUCUCACCCCAAAUCCAAAAUUAUAUGAUGAAUUCAUGUUUAGAUUAAUGGGUUAUAAGCAAAAAGAAGUAAGAAUCAUUACCCGCAAACUUCCUCCGAAAAUCUUUCAAAAAUUCGUCUCCUACCGAGCUCCCAAUUCAAUUUUGUGAUAUGAACUCAAGACCCUCGAUUUUGAACUUUAUGUUCUGCCCAUACACGACCUUAAUCGCGAACGCAGCGUAGCCCACGCGUUCGCGAUUCAACUUCUACCAAUACUACGCGUUCGCACUCCCUUUCCUGCGAUCGCGUAGAACAAAAUCCCUUCUACCUCAUCUAAGCCUUCGCGAUCGCAAGCUUCCUCACGCGAUCGCGAUGAAAAAAAGUCUGCAACAGAAAACCAGAAAAAAAUUGAUCGUUCUCCAAGUCCAAAAAUGGUCCGUUGAGCAUCCGAAACACACUCGAGGCCCCUGGGACUUCAACCAAACAUGUCAACCAAUCCUAAAACAUCAUUCAAACUUGUUACAACCUUCGGAAUGCUCAAAACAACAUCAAAACACCAAUUUAACAUCGGAUUCAAGCCUAAGAACUCUAAAAACUCUCAAAUUACGCUUUCGAUCAAAAAGCCUAUCAAACCUCGUCCGAAUAACCUGAAAUUUUGUAAGCACAUCACAUUCAACACUACAAAGCUACUCCAACUUCCGGAAUUUCAUUCCGACCCCGAUAUCAAAAUCUUACUAUCAAACCGGAAACUUCAAAAAUUCAACUUUCGGCAUUUCAAGCCUAAAUAAGUUACAGACCUCCAAAAUGUCAUCCGAACACACCCUAAUUCCGAAAUCACCCAACGAAGCUAACGGAUACGACGGAAUUCCAUUCCGAGGCCGUCUUCAUACUGCUCCGACUACUGUUUAAUUUCUAAAGCUUAAGCUCUCUUUUAGGGACAAAGUGUCCCAAAACACUUCGAAACUCAAAACAAAUCAUCUCAGAAAAUCAAAAUAGCAGAAACAAAUACGGAGAAAGCAGUUAAUGGGGGAUCGAGACAUUAAUUCUUAAAACGACUGGUCGAGUCGUUACACAAAUGUCCUUCCCAUUUUUCUAACUUCCUAUAAGUCGUGAAGUUUGUCAUACAAAAAAUAAGCUUCUGUGAAACGAACACCUAGUCAAGAAAUGAGUUAAGAAGCACAACUUACCCCUUAGUCAUACCAACACAACAAUCCUGAAACCUCUGCCCACAUAUUCACCAGUGAAAGAAAUUUUCUUCACCAUGCUUGUUUGCACCCCAAAUAGAUCAUGCAUCAUGAAAUGGGAAACAAGAAGAAGUAUAACAGAGAUAGUUCUGACUAGUCAUUAAAUUUUUUUUAUAAUGAUAAGAAAUGUCUAGAUGCUUUAGAUAAGACUUCAUUAACUCAAAGUCGGAACAAGUAGCUAAAGUUUAAUCUCUAGAUUUUCACUGAUAAUCAUGGUUAAACAAGCAUGUUGGAAUUACUUAGACGCUUUAUUCAUUUGAUCAAAAGUACUCAUGAAUAACAAGAAAUCCAAAUAUAUUUGUAGAAGCAAACACAAGGAGUGCUUUACCUUCACGAAUUAGCUCAAAUCUUGGAUGAUCAAUCCAUUGCUUUAGAUUAUCCUUUGAUCCAUUGGAGUAAUUUUCUACAACAACCACGUGAGCAUAUGCAAAAGUUAAUGUAGUUGUACUCAAGCUUCUAAUCAUUUUUUAUAUACAAGAAUGCAAUAUUUGCAAAUAUACAACAGAAAAUCAAACUUAGAAGACUGUACCUCAUUCUUCUCAUUUUACAUUAGUUUGUCAACAAAGGCGAGAGCCGAUAGUCUAGACCAUCUACCAAAUUUCUCAUGUUGGUCAGUGAUUAUGGCAGUUCGUGAAUAGUAAACAAUGCUAAUUAAUAUCAGAAAAUCACAAUAGUAUCCCGUAAAGCAGCCUCGAUUAAACAUUAACUAGAGUACUACAUUAUGAAGAGGUUGGAAAUCAAAAUUUUACUUAAUUGUAAUAAGAAAGAAAACAAGAAAUCAAUUCCUAGACCGUUGGACCAUCAAUCUCCAAGCUGGACCAACUUACAAACAAUUCAAAAAUCAAACCCAAAACUUAGUAGCGAUCAAAGUCGUUGGACAAAGAAAGAGUGUAUUGCCUUGUUCCCCGUACUUCAAAAUUCUAAAUACAUAAUCCAUCCAAUAGCCAAAAUAGGAAAACCUUCAAUCAACCGUAAAAGACCAAAGAUCUCCCAAAUACCACCUAAUACAAAUAUAAAGUCUCUCACUAGAGAGCCUCCAUUUAAACGCGCACAGUAUUCUACUACAACAAUUCUUAAAAGGGUAAAAUUUGCAAUUAGACCUCAAGCGAAGGAAUCCACACAAAAUUGAACCAAAAUAUAACACAAUAGUAGUAAUAAUACAUAAAUCCACAAGCAUAUCUUAAACAAUUUCGAGUACGAACUCUGUAACGAAUAGUAGACAAAGGAGAUAUAAAGCAACUGAAAAUAAAAAGAGUAUAAGUACAAACCUUUGUUGUUCUGAUUGCGCCGACUUUCUCUCGGUAAAGAAGGCGAUGAAGAGAGGAAAUUUGGGCCUGAAAGAUUUUGUGAGUUGGGGAGAGGGAAUUGUAAUUUCCAAAUUACCCCGUAAGGUGCCAAUUAAAAC
rnacentral:lncRNA from 1 species